GACGAACGCUGGCGGCGUGCUUAACACAUGCAAGUCGAACGGAAAGGCCCCUUUGGGGGUACUCGAGUGGCGAACGGGUGAGUAACACGUGAGUAACCUGCCCUUGACAUCGGGAUAACUUCAGGAAACUGGGGCUAAUACCGGAUAGGAAUCCUUGCUGCAUGGUGGGGGUUGGAAAGCUUCGGCGGUUUUGGAUGGACUCGCGGCUUAUCAGCUUGUUGGUGGGGUAGUGGCUUACCAAGGCUUUGACGGGUAGCCGGCCUGAGAGGGCGACCGGCCACAUUGGGACUGAGAUACGGCCCAGACUCCUACGGGAGGCAGCAGUGGGGAAUAUUGCACAAUGGGCGGAAGCCUGAUGCAGCAACGCCGCGUGCGGGAUGACGGCCUUCGGGUUGUAAACCGCUUUCAGCAGGGGCGAAGCUUGUGGUGACGGUACCUGCAGAAGAAGCACCGGCUAACUACGUG
rnacentral:rRNA from 1 species